GAUGAACGUUGGCGGCGUGCCUAAUACAUGCAAGUCGAACGAAGACUGUAGUAAUACUGUCUUAGUGGCGAACGGGUGAGUAACGCGUGGGUGACCUGCCCCGAAGUGUGGGAUAACAGUUCGAAAGAACUGCUAAUACCGCAUAAUAUCCAAGAGAUUAGACGCUUUUGGAUUAAAGGAGAAAUUCGCUUCGGGAGGGGCCCGCGUCCCAUCAGCUAGUUGGUAAGGUAAUGGCUUACCAAGGCGAUGACGGGUAGGGGACCUGAGAGGGUGGCCCCCCACAAUGGAACUGAAACACGGUCCAUACGCCUACGGGUGGCAGCAGUAGGGAAUAUUAGUAAUGGGCGAAAGCCUGAACUAGCAACGCCGCGUGUGCGAAGAAGGCCUUCGGGUUGUAAAGCACUUUUUGAGAGGAUGAGGAAGGACGGUACUCUCAGAAUAAGUCUCGGCUAACUACGUGCCAGCAACCGCGGUAAUCUGUAGUCGU
rnacentral:rRNA from 1 species